rnacentral:rRNA from 2 species
GGUGCUUGCAUCAUGAUUUACAUUUGAGUGAGUGGCGAACUGGUGAGUAACACGUGGGAAACCUGCCCAGAAGCGGGGGAUAACACCUGGAAACAGAUGCUAAUACCGCAUAACAACUUGGACCGCAUGGUCCGAGUUUGAAAGAUGGCUUCGGCUAUCACUUUUGGAUGGUCCCGCGGCGUAUUAGCUAGAUGGUGGGGUAACGGCUCACCAUGGCAAUGAUACGUAGCCGACCUGAGAGGGUAAUCGGCCACAUUGGGACUGAGACACGGCCCAAACUCCUACGGGAGGCAGCAGUAGGGAAUCUUCCACAAUGGACGAAAGUCUGAUGGAGCAACGCCGCGUGAGUGAAGAAGGGUUUCGGCUCGUAAAACUCUGUUGUUAAAGAAGAACAUAUCUGAGAGUAACUGUUCAGGUAUUGACGGUAUUUAACCAGAAAGCCACGGCUAACUACGUGCCAGCAGCCGCGGUAAUACGUAGGUGGCAAGCGUUGUCCGGAUUUAUUGGGCGUAAAGCGAGCGCAGGCGGUUUUUUAAGUCUGAUGUGAAAGCCUUCGGCUCAACCGAAGAAGUGCAUCGGAAACUGGGAAACUUGAGUGCAGAAGAGGACAGUGGAACUCCAUGUGUAGCGGUGAAAUGCGUAGAUAUAUGGAAGAACACCAGUGGCGAAGGCGGCUGUCUGGUCUGUAACUGACGCUGAGGCUCGAAAGUAUGGGUAGCAAACAGGAUUAGAUACCCUGGUAGUCCAUACCGUAAACGAUGAAUGCUAAGUGUUGGAGGGUUUCCGCCCUUCAGUGCUGCAGCUAACGCAUUAAGCAUUCCGCCUGGGGAGUACGGCCGCAAGGCUGAAACUCAAAGGAAUUGACGGGGGCCCGCACAAGCGGUGGAGCAUGUGGUUUAAUUCGAAGCUACGCGAAGAACCUUACCAGGUCUUGACAUACUAUGCAAAUCUAAGAGAUUAGACGUUCCCUUCGGGGACAUGGAUACAGGUGGUGCAUGGUUGUCGUCAGCUCGUGUCGUGAGAUGUUGGGUUAAGUCCCGCAACGAGCGCAACCCUUAUUAUCAGUUGCCAGCAUUAAGUUGGGCACUCUGGUGAGACUGCCGGUGACAAACCGGAGGAAGGUGGGGAUGACGUCAAAUCAUCAUGCCCCUUAUGACCUGGGCUACACACGUGCUACAAUGGAUGGUACAACGAGUUGCGAACUCGCGAGAGUAAGCUAAUCUCUUAAAGCCAUUCUCAGUUCGGAUUGUAGGCUGCAACUCGCCUACAUGAAGUCGGAAUCGCUAGUAAUCGCGGAUCAGCAUGCCGCGGUGAAUACGUUCCCGGGCCUUGUACACACCGCCCGUCACACCAUGAGAGUUUGUAACACCCAAAGUCGGUGGGG